AGCGAACGCUGGCGGCAGGCCUAACACAUGCAAGUCGAACGAACUCUUCGGAGUUAGUGGCGGACGGGUGAGUAACACGUGGGAACGUACCUUUAGGUUCGGAAUAACUCAGGGAAACUUGUGCUAAUACCGUAUGUGCCCUUCGGGGGAAAGAUUUAUCGCCUUUAGAGCGGCCCGCGUCUGAUUAGCUAGUUGGUGAGGUAAAGGCUCACCCAGGCGACGAUCAGUAGCUGGUCUGAGAGGAUGAUCAGCCACAUUGGGACUGAGACACGGCCCGAACUCCUACGGGAGGCAGCAGUGGGGAAUCUUGCGCAAUGGGCGAAAGCCUGACGCAGCCAUGCCGCGUGAAUGAUGAAGGUCUUAGGAUUGUGAAAUUCUUUCACCGGGGACGAUAAUGACGGUACCCGGAGAAGAAGCCCCGGCUAACUUCGUGCCAGCCGCCGCCGUAAUAC
rnacentral:rRNA from 1 species